rnacentral:sRNA from 1 species
AUGGCUGUCGUCAGCUCGUGUCGUGAGAUGUUGGGUUAAGUCCCGUAACGAGCGCAACCCUUGUCCUUAGUUGCCAGCAUUUUAGGUGGGAACUCUAAGGAGACUGCCGGUGAUAAACCGGAGGAAGGUGGGGAUGACGUCAAGUCAUCAUGGCCCUUACGGCCUGGGCUACACACGUGCUACAAUGGUCGGUACAGAGGGUUGCUAAGCCGCGAGGUGGAGCCAAUCCCACAAAGCCGAUCGUAGUCCGGAUUGAAGUCUGCAACUCGACUUCAUGAAGUCGGAAUCGCUAGUAAUCGCAGAUCAGAAUGCUGCGGUGAAUACGUUCCCGGGCCUUGUACACACCGCCCGUCACACCAUGGGAGUGGCUUGCAAAAGAAGUACGUAGCUUAACCUUCGGGAGGGCGCUUACCACUUUGUGAUUCAUGACUGGGGUGAAGUCGUAACAAGGUAGCCGUAGGGGAACCUGCGGCUGGAUCACCUCCUUAAAAGUAUAGUGGUCAAUCCUAUACGUCGAGCGCCCGCACAAAUUUCUUGAUCAGAUGUAUUGCGUGAAGGUCCAACUGGCUAUGUAAUUGGACUGAAUACAGAAGCAACAUAAAUAUUGUUGUUACAAAGUUUGGGUCUGUAGCUCAGUUGGUUAGAGCGCACCCCUGAUAAGGGUGAGGUCGGUGGUUCAAAUCCAUCCAGACCCACCAGAUUCGUAUUUCAAUCUGGAGUACUGAUUCGAUUUAUUUAAUCACUACUAAUUUAUUUAAUCACUACUAAUUGAUUGGUAAAAUACAUAUUAUCGUGGCCAUAGCUCAGCUGGGAGAGCGCCUGCCUUGCACGCAGGAGGUCGGCGGUUCGAUCCCGCCUGGCUCCACCAGAAUUACUUUAAGAUUUGAGUAAGUAAUAACUUACUUAAUUAUGUUCUUUAAAAAUUUGGGAAAUUGAUUAUCACAAACAAUAGAUCUCUCAAUUGUUGUUUGUGGAACAAAUACGUUCGAAAGAAUGUAUUUGGGUAUAUGCAUUUGUAUAGCGUCAGCAAACAUGUGAUCUCUAAACUUAAUUUGCAAAAGGGUUAGGUAGGGUGGUGGUAGUUCGCCAAACUGUUUGAGAUUAUAUGGUCAAGCGAAUAAGCGCAUACGGCGGAUGCCUAGGCGGUAAGAGGCGAUGAAGGACGUAGUAGCCUGCGAUAAGCUUCGGGGAGUCGGCAAACAGACUUUGAUCCGGAGAUUUCCGAAUGGGGAAACCCGG